AGAACGAACGCUGGCGGCAGGCCUAACACAUGCAAGUCGAACGCCCCGCAAGGGGAGUGGCAGACGGGUGAGUAACGCGUGGGAACAUACCUUUCGGUUCGGAAUAGCUCAGGGAAACUUGAAUUAAUACCGGAUACGUCCGCAAGGAGAAAGAUUUAUCGCCGAAAGAUUGGCCCGCGUCCGAUUAGCUAGUUGGUGAGGUAAUAGCUUACCAAGGCGACGAUCGGUAGCUGGUCUGAGAGGAUGAUCAGCCACACUGGGACUGAGACACGGCCCAGACUCCUACGGGAGGCAGCAGUGGGGGAUAUUGGACAAUGGGCGCAAGCCUGAUCCAGCCAUGCCGCGUGAGUGAUGAAGGCCCUAGGGUUGUAAAGCUCUUUCGUCAGGGACGAUAAUGACGGUACCUGGAGAAUAAGCACCGGCUAACUUCGUGCCAGCAGCCGC
rnacentral:rRNA from 1 species